UAUAUGCAUUAAGCAUUAAUUUGUAAAUUUUGGAUAAUUAGUAUGUUUAGCAAGAGUUGGAAAUUACUGACUGCCCAUGGCAGUCUGUUUUUGAGGUAGGGAUUAAUCUCUGUACAUGUAGUUCUGGUCAUUUAAACAAAUUUUCUCUGUUCUCUAUUCUUUUUUUCAGGGUAUAGUAAGUCUGUAGAAAAUAAGUAAAAUAUAAUAUAACAAGGGAGCACUUCUAGUUAAAUGUAUGAGUUGACCUACGAUUAGUGUUGUCAAAUCAGAUGAUUUUUAGUAACCGGGUACUCGCCUACUUUUCAGUUCAAGUAGCUGGUUAUGCAGAUGAUUUUUCUUUAGACCUCAAAAUACCUGCUUUUGCAAUAUACUCAACAGGAACUAGUAUAAGUAUUUGUAACUUGUUAUUUCCAUAUCUUUUUUGCAUAUUUUCCAUAUUUGCAUAUAUGGAAUAAAGACAAGUACAUGUACAUGUGUAAGCAUGUAAAUCUGCAUAUCUGACACGUUUUGAUUGGAUAAUGCACUGAUGUUUGAAGCAGUAAAACAAGCAUGAACGAGAGAGAAAGCUUUUCAUUGUGACUUCAUAAGAGAGCAACCCAAAAACACAAUGCUCCGUGACGUAUUUAAUGUAACAAAACAAGACAGAAACAACAAACAAAUGCAUAGAUUGCAUUAGAAUUGGAAUAAUUAUCUUUAAAAUUUAAUUUGGUAUUUGCGACUGUUAAGUAUGCUGAUUUAACAGUUGAAAACGUGUUUUAGUUCUCACACAGAAAAUUAACUUUAUUGAAAGAAAACCAUAGGAUAUAUUUGUUAUGAAGAGGGGUAUUAUGGAAAUAUAUGAGAAUCUUUGAAAAUCUAAUGCAUACAAGCCACGGUUAUAAUCCUUGCCAAUAUACAUUUUACAAGGACCACAUAUGCAUAAAUGCCAAUCUAAUUAAAAUUAGAUAAUAGAUCCUUUCCCAUACUCACAACACUAACAUUUGACAUCCCAAAGAGGGUAAUGUCAUAGGUCAAAUUUAGAACAACUGAUUUGGAUCAACAGAUAUACAAUGAUUUUGAAGGCGACAAUAUGAUUGGUUGAGGGAAUUUGACCUCUGACUUAACCUUUUAUGGGAUGUUGUUAGAUAUUAGUGUAGCAAGUAAUAUGAGCAGAUAUAAACAUGAAGUCUAAUUUUAAUUAGAUUGGCAUAUAUUUCAGUUUUUAAAUGUCUGCAUUGCUGAUAUUGGUUUAAAUGUAAAAAUUUUACAAGGAAUUGUUCAAAACUUUGCUGUUGAUUCAGAAAACUGAACAUAGUAAAAGAAAAAUCAUUAUGAUUUAUCUGUGUACUAGUAUAUCAUGAUACCUCAUGAAUGCUUUGUAUCUAAGUUUGUUAUUUUUUUUUUCUUUUUGUAGAUUGAAUCUGUGUUAAAACUUGUCCAAUAUAUAAAGACAAUGGGUGAAAAAGUACAGCUUUGUUCACAGGAACUUAAUACAUCAUCAUAAGAUCAUUUUCCUAAGAUGGGUGAAAUCAACAGUCAAAUACUGACACUUUAAAGAAAAGCAAAAGACAUCUCAGUGCACACAUAAGUUGUGUUUAAAGAAAACAACAACCACUGUACCCUCAACACCCGGCCUUCACAUAGCAGAACGACACUUAGAGCUGCUUUACUUGGUGCCUGUCUGUCCAUCUGUCACACUUUACAUCUCCAGAACUGUAAGAGGUAAGAGAGAAAUUCAGUUCUGAAAUUGCCCUAGGAGUUCUUGGAUUGCAUCAUACUGCUUACAGGCCUUGACAAAAAACAGUGUCUUGAAAGAAAAAACCUGAAAAUAUUCAGUGAAAAAAUUGAUGAGAGAAAGAUCCACUAGAAAUUUUGAAGCCUUUGAGCUGAAAUCUGGACUUAACUGGUAUGUCUUACGAAUUCAUCAGUUGUGUAUAAUAAAUACAAUAAACACUUUAGUACAAUCUUUAGAUUUAAUUUGUAGCUCACAUACUUCAACUAUUUCAUGAAAUUUAAGUAAGAAUGAUAAUUUCCUGCUGUCUAGCUAGAUUAAAAACUGUUAUAGUCCAAAUUUGAUAUUGCGAAAUAAUUCAUUUAGAAAAUCGGAUAUGCAUACAUGUGUGUAUACUUGCAUGUAAAUUAAUUGUUAAAGCAAGUUCAAUUUAUCAUUAAGUUGAAAGUUGACUAAUUUUAGUGCAUCUUUUAUGUAAAAGUAUGGAUGAAAACCAUUUGAUUUUUGUACCUUUGAAUGUAUUAAUCAAUUUGUAAAAGCUCUUUUGAUACACUGUUUGAUAUUUUAUAAAAGUUUUUAACACAUGCAAUCAGUAAAUGUGUCACAAUUUUGAUUUGAUUACUAUUCUGUUUUUAAGAAGUAAAAAAGUGUAAAGUUCCAUGUAGCUUAUACUAGUUUAGUGGCACAUGGUACUGGUAUAUCGUGUAUAUUGAACUGUCAAUGAAAUAAAAGUCUAAAUAGUCAAAACACAGGAUUAGGUAGGGAAUGCACUAUCUUGUAUGGUAAUAAAUGUUAAACUACUACUUUUUUUUUAUUAACAAAGGGUAUGCUUGAGUGACUGUAUUUUAAUAAGCAGUGAAAAUAAAAUAAUUUUUAAGCAUUUGAA